GUGCACACGAUGCACCACGCGCACGAUUCUCUGGGAACGCUGGCCCCCUGCCCCGAAAGCACCCUUCACGCCGUAACCCUAGAGAAAGGCCAGAGAGGGUGAAAUGCAAGUCUCUUCGGGAGCAUCCGCGCUGCUCACAGAGCUCGGUGAUGGCCAUCGCAUUAAUUAAACUUCGCAGCAACCGCGGAGACACAGCACGCAGAUAGCCAGGCAUGGAGCCCAGACCCGCCCUCUCUUCUGGCGCCGUCUUCCUCUUGCACACAGGCCGCUCUGGCCCCUUCCCCCGGGACUCGGAGGAAGGGCUGGCUUCGUCUCCAUGUGGGUCCCCCGCGGUAGGGUCACCCACGCCGAGACAGUGGCCUCCUCACCCCAAGCCGCACAGUGGCUGCCGGACACAGAAGUCACCUCCGCCCAAUCUACAGGCACGCGCCUGACUUCCCGGCACGCGGGAGGCUGAGGCUGCAGGGUGCCACGGGUUCAGGGCCAGCCUGAACGACACAGACAGACCCUGUCUCGUGGAAACAAAGUAAACAAACUAUAAGAUAGAACGGGGGUCGUCGUUAACAGGUGAAGUACCAGCCACGGAGCGCUGGCUUGGUAAAUGGCGGCAGCGGUUCCUAAAUUAUUCUUUCUCCGGCGCCACCGGGUCCUCUGCUAGUGGGCGCGGCUGCGCUCCAGCGCUGCUCCGGCUCCCUCUGUGUGGGUCCCUCCGGGAGUGGACACGGCCUCGGGUACAAACCCUCGCGCGUGGACGCACGGCCGUGGGCCCAGCAACCCCCACGCGAGGCUGUGUCAACCGCAGGGGCUGUGCAAGUGACUCCCGUGUCACGUCCGUGUGACACGCAGGAGGCGCUCGGCAAACACUCUGCUGGAUGCAUUUACCUCUCACCCUGGCUCUUGGACCGGCAGCUGCACACGCACAGAAAAACAAGUGCGUUUAAAAUGUUCCCUCGUGAGGAGAGUGACCCGAUGCGUCUUAUUACAAGUGAUGCUUUGUCACCGUAGCAAUAAAUAAAUAAAAUAUCAGGAAGAAAAUAUCUGAGCCACGUGGGAAACACGUAGACACGCCAAGGCGCUGUCACACUUGUGACAGAUGUUAGAAUUUUGCAAGGAAAUGGACGCCCUCGGUGUCAAAUCUGACGUCACGUCGGGGCUGCCUGGCCGCCGGGGUCCUCACUUCUCACCAGAGGCUUCCAGAACAUCCACUCCGGGCUGCCGGGCCGUGCAGCCUCCUGGGCAGAUCUCCCAGCUUCCUUCCUCAGCCUGGCUGGGAGACUUCAGCUCUGAAUUGUAAUGUUUCAUUAUCAUAAUUGUGUUCUGUGAUAAUCCGGAUAGAUUAAAAUUUCUCUACAAAACAAAUGCUUAAUAAAGGGCUAAACCUGAGGAAUAAAUCAGCAGGCGGUCAUGCCCAGAC
rnacentral:lncRNA from 1 species